GGCUUAGAGUUUGAUCAUGGCUCAGGAUGAACGCUAGCGACAGGCCUAACACAUGCAAGUCGAGGGGCAGCAUUUUUGAAGCUUGCUUCAAAAGAUGGCGACCGGCGCACGGGUGAGUAACGCGUAUGGAACCAACCCGCAACAGGGGGAUAACCCGGAGAAAUCCGGACUAAUACCGCAUGGUACUCUUUGCACAGAAGUGUGAAGAUUUAAAGAUGCGAAUCGGUUGCGGACGGUCAUGCGUUCCAUUAGCUAGUUGGCGGGGUAACGGCCCACCAAGGCGACGAUGGAUAGGGGUUCUGAGAGGAAGGUCCCCCACACUGGUACUGAGACACGGACCAGACUACUACGGGAGGCAGCAGUGAGGAAUAUUGGUCAAUGGGCGAGAGCCUGAACCAGCCAAGUCGCGUGAGGGAAGACGGCCCUAUGGGUUGUAAACCUCUUUUAGAUGGGAGUAAAGUGUUCUACGAGUAGGAUAUUGCAAGUACCAUCAGAAUAAGCAUCGGCUAAUUCCGUGCCAGCAGCCGCGGUAAUACGGAAGAUGCGAGCGUUAUCCGGAUUUAUUGGGUUUGAAGGGUGCGUAGGCGGGUGAUUAAGUCAGCGGUGAAAUGCGUCAGCUUAACUGGCGAACUGCCAUUGAAACUGGUUACCUUGAGUGUAGCGGAAGUAUGCGGAAUGCGUGGUGUAGCGGUGAAAUGCAUAGAUAUCACGCAGAACUCCGAUUGCGAAGGCAGCAUACCAUACUAUAACUGACGCUGAAGCACGAAAGCGUGGGUAUCGAACAGGAUUAGAUACCCUGGUAGUCCACGCAGUAACGAUGAAUACUCACCGUUUGCGAUAUAUGUAAG
rnacentral:rRNA from 1 species